GCAAACUUGGUCAUUUAGAGGAAGUAAAAGUCGUAACAAGGUUUCCGUAGGUGAACCUGCGGAAGGAUCAUUAAUGAAUUGAACUUGGUCAAGUUGAUUUGCUGGUCCUUAGGGACAUGUGCUCACUUGGCUAUUGUUUCUUGACCACCUGUGCACCUUUUGUAGAUCUCGAGUUUCCUGACUCUUAUCAACCUUGGUUGGAUUGAGGCAUUGCUGUGUUGCAUGAUCUCAAGGGAACUCAGGUCUAUGCCUUUUUUUUAAAAUACACUCUGAUUGUAUUGGGAUGGUAUUGAUGGGCUUAUAAUGCCUAUAACAAUAAAUACAACUUUCAACAACGGAUCUCUUGGCUCUCGCAUCGAUGAAGAACGCAGC
rnacentral:misc_RNA from 1 species